AUUGAACGCUGGCGGCAGGCUUAACACAUGCAAGUCGAGCGGAGAGAGGUAGCUUGCUACUGAUCUUCGCGGCGGGCGGGUGAGUAAUGCGUAGGAAUCUGCCUCUUAGUGGGGGACAACAUUUCGAAAGGAAUGCUAAUACCGCAUACGUCCUACGGGAGAAAGCAGGGGAUCUUCGGACCUUGCGCUAAUAGAUGAGCCUAAGUCGGAUUAGCCAGUUGGUGGGGUAGGGGCCUACCAAGGCGACGAUCUGUAGCGGUUCGGAGAGGAUGAUCCGCCACACUGGGGCUGAGACACGGCCCAGACUCCUACGGGAGGCAGCAGUGGGGAAUAUUGGACAAUGGGCGGAAGCCUGAUCCAGCCAUGCCGCGUGUGUGAAGAGGGCCUUAUGGCUGUAAAGCACGUUAAGCGAGGAGGAGGCUACUUUAGUUAAUACCUAGAGAUAGUGGACGUUACUCGCAGAAUAAGCACCGGCUAACUCUGUGCCAGCCGCCGCCGUAAAAC
rnacentral:rRNA from 1 species